GGUUAUUUUGACACAUAUAGCUGUGGCUUCGUGUACGGUAGUGUUUCUAUUGUUAAUAAUAUCAAUGAACUUUUACAAGGGAGAAAUGACGGAUCUCGUACAUUCGUUGAAAAUGUUUUCUGGUUUUACUAUUUAUGUGUUCCAAUUAUUUACCACGUGUUACCUGUAUGGAAAUCUAAAAAUUCAGAACGAUUCGACCAAUUUUUCAAUAUAUAGCUGCAACUGGAC